rnacentral:rRNA from 1 species
AACGAACGCUGGCGGCAGGCUUAACACAUGCAAGUCGAGCGCCCCGCACGGGGAGCGGCAGACGGGUGAGUAACGUGUGGGAAUCUACCCAUCUCUACGGAAUAACGCAUGGAAACGUGUGCUAAUACCGUAUACGUCCUUCGGGAGAAAUAUUUAUCGGAGAUGGAUGAGCCCGCGUUGGAUUAGCUAGUUGGUGGGGUAAAGGCCUACCAAGGCGACGAUCCAUAGCUGGUCUGAGAGGAUGAUCAGCCACACUGGGACUGAGACACGGCCCAGACUCCUACGGGAGGCCGCAGUGGGGAAUAUUGGACAAUGGGCGCAAGCCUGAUCCAGCCAUGCCGCGUGAGUGAUGAAGGCCCUAGGGUUGUAAAGCUCUUUCACCGGUGAAGAUAAUGACGGUAACCGGAGAAGAAGCCCCGGCUAACCUCGUGCCAGCAGCCGCGGUAAUAC